CUUACACCCAGAUGACAUCAAGUCCACGUUCUUUGUAUUUCUUCACCUGCCUCGAGCAGGAAGCAUUAUUAAAUGUAUUUCAUUUUUUCUUUUCAACGCGGUUGCACUAAUUUUUACCCUCUACAUAUCCUCGGAUGAGGAUGAAAAGGAAAAGAAUGUAAGAAAUUUCCUGAAGCUGAGAAAGAUACAAGUCUUCAAAUUAAAAGAGUUCACCGUGUACCAAACUGAAUGAAUUUUAAAAGACCCACACCAAGUCAAGUUUUGAGAGUAGUCCCUAAUCCAAUAUGACUGGUGUUCUUAUAAGGAGAGGAGAUUAGGUCACAGACAACACAGAGGGAUAGCCAAGAAAGGACACAGCAAGAAGAUGCCCAUCUGGAGCCAAGGAGAGAGCUCGGAAGAAACCAAACCUGCUGAUGCCUUCAUCUUGGACUUCCAAGCCUCCAGAAUCGUGAGAAAAUAAAUCUCUGUUGUUUAAGCUA